rnacentral:siRNA from 1 species
GUAGCAGAGUCUAUGAAGUUGGU